AGGUGAGUUCCCCUUCACUGUAAAGCACUUUGAGCAUUUGGAAAAGUGCUAUAUAAAUGUAAUUAAUAAUAAUAAUAAUAAUAAUAAUAAUAAUUGUGUUUGUAAGUAUACGUCUGUGUACGCAGGGGGACAGGCUAAUUGUCGAUUGCCGCGAGCACCUUUAUCUCUGUCUUCCAAACAUCCGACGCACAUCCGCAAGUGCUCAGGCAAUAAAGCCGAGUUCUUUUGUCUUGCAAAUAUAUUUGAAUGAGUUGUUCGGUCGGGCCUUGCCGCGUAUGUGAGUGACUGAGACGGAUCUGAACUGCGGUGUCGGUGCGACUGCGUCCGAGCUGGGUCUUGGUCUGCGACUGCCGAAGGUCGUUUCUUAACAGCGCCCGGAAACAAAAGUUCCCAAACGUCCGAGAGAGAAGACACAGCCGGGAGGCAAUUUAAGAGAGAACUGGGUCCUACCGCCUGCAUGGAGUCCAUGGACAAGCAGAAUUCACAGGAGGAGCCCGGUGAUGUCACAGAGGCAGAAGGUGACGCUCCUGAAGGUGCAGCAGAUAACUCAAGAGAAGACGAGAACAGGCAAGUGUGCUCCGAGCACGCACACA